CCAGGAUCUGGCCACCUCAACCCAUGCUGUACAACUGAUGAAAGCAGUACAGGGGCCACUGAAGACAUAACAAUUGAAGAUGUAAUAAUUGCAUGAGUCUUGCUAACAUGACAUCAAAAGCUCUCCCACACUCAUGCUCGGGUGUCUUCUGUCUGGGUAGCAUAUCAACAGGGAAGAGUCUAAAAGUUAGGAAACGGAAGCGUCCGAGCUGCACCACCCAGAGCUUGUUACCUGAGUGCAGGGGCGGCGACCCCAG
rnacentral:lncRNA from 1 species